GACGAACGCUGGCGGCGUGCUUAACACAUGCAAGUCGAACGGAAAGGCCCUGCUUUUGUGGGGUGCUCGAGUGGCGAACGGGUGAGUAACACGUGAGUAACCUGCCCUUGACUUUGGGAUAACUUCAGGAAACUGGGGCUAAUACCGGAUAGGAGCUCCUGCUGCAUGGUGGGGGUUGGAAAGUUUCGGCGGUUGGGGAUGGACUCGCGGCUUAUCAGCUUGUUGGUGGGGUAGUGGCUUACCAAGGCUUUGACGGGUAGCCGGCCUGAGAGGGUGACCGGCCACAUUGGGACUGGGAUACGGCCCAGACUCCUACGGGAGGCAGCAGUGGGGAAUAUUGCACAAUGGGCGGAAGCCUGAUGCAGCAACGCCGCGCGCGGGAUGACGGCCUUCGGGUUGUAAACCGCUUUCGCCUGUGACGAAGCGUGAGUGACGGUAAUGGGUAAAGAAGCACCGGCUAACUACGUG
rnacentral:rRNA from 1 species